rnacentral:rRNA from 1 species
UACGAAGGGGGCUAGCGUUGCUCGGAAUGACUGGGCGUAAAGGGCGCGUAGGCGGAUGGCACAGUCAGAUGUGAAAUUCCCGGGCUUAACCUGGGGGCUGCAUUUGAUACGUGUUGUCUAGAGUGAGGAAGAGGGUUGUGGAAUUCCCAGUGUAGAGGUGAAAUUCGUAGAUAUUGGGAAGAACACCGGUGGCGAAGGCGGCGACCUGGUCCUUAACUGACGCUGAGGCGCGAAAGCGUGGGGAGCAAACAGG